rnacentral:tmRNA from 1 species
GGGGCUGACCGGUUUUGACAGCGUGUAGAAGUGGUGGGUAAGCGUGCAGAGCUUUGAGGUCUAUGCUCUAUAAUAUCAGGCUUCAGACAGUUUAAAUGGCGAAAAUAACUACGCUCUUGCUGCCUAAUCGAAGUACAGUAGAUAAGGCUUAAUCGCCGCAACAGUUGCAGCGACAAGACAUCGCCCGACAGCCCUUUUUCCGAGGCUCGUCGAUCAGGCGGUGCUGGUAAAUCGGAGAUAGGAAGCGUAUGCCCUGCUGCGCCUCCGAAAUUUAAGGGAUAAGGCGGUGGUUGGCAGUCUCAGACCUGCCACCGCUCGAAAACCAAGCUGAGACUACGCACGUAGAAAGCUCAUUAAUUCCGCGUUUGGACGAGGGUUCAACCCCCUCCAGCUCCACU